UACGUAGGGAGUAAGCGUUGUCCGGAUUCACUGGGCGUAAAGGGUGCGCAGGCGGAUUUGUAAGUCAGAAGUGAAAUCUCACGGCUUAACCGUGAAACUGCUUUUGAUACUGCAGAUCUUGAGUUUGGGAGAGGUUGAUGGAAUUCCAGGUGUAGCGGUGAAAUGCGUAGAUAUCUGGAAGAACACCAGUGGCGAAGGCGGUCAACUGGCCCAUAACUGACGCUCAGGCACGAAAGCGUGGGUAGCGAACAGG
rnacentral:rRNA from 1 species